CACACGAAUACAAAGAGCCAUACGACCUUCGGGUAUCCUUUUUCCAUUUUUUUUUCGCCUUCAUCUUGUGUGUGUUUUCAGAUUUUUUUAAAAAUUGAGAUCUGUGGCAGUGCUGGGACAAGCUUUCUUUGUGCACCCCCGGCUGUCCUGAAACCACCUCUAACGACCGACCAGGCUGGCCCUCUGCCUCCAGAGUGCAGGGAUUAAAGAUCUGCACACCAGAAGAGGUCAUUGGAUCCCAUGGGACUGUAGUUACAGACAGUUGUGAG